GGAAAAGGUAUUAAGGGCACAGGAUGGAUGCCUUGGCACUUACAGCCGAAGAAAGACGUCGCAAGCUGCGAAAAGCCUCGGGGAGCCGCAAGCGGGCCUUGAUCCGGGGAUAUCUGAAUGGGGCAACCCGUCGGAGGAAGACUCCGACACACCGCAAGGUGGGGAACCUGGUGAAGUGAAACAUCUCAGUAGCCAGAGGAAAAGAAAUCGAAGAGAUACCCUGAGUAGUGGUGAGCGAAAGGGGAAGAGCCUAAACCGAACAUGUGGAAGCCUGCAAGCGUUGCAUGUUUGGGGUUGAGGGACCUUCGGGAGCAGAUUGCAGACUGCUCGCAGAGUUAGAAAGCGUCAGCUUAGCUGAACGGUGUUGGAAAAGCCGGCCGUAGAGGGUGAAAGCCCUGUAGGCGAAAAGCUGAAGUCUCUGAGAAGGGAUCCCAAGUAGGCCGGAGCACGUGGAAUUCCGGUUGAAUCAGGGCGGCCCAUCGUCCAAGGCUAAACACUGUAAGUGACCGAUAGCGCAUAGUACCGAGAGGGAAAGGUGAAAAGCACCCCGGGAGGGGAGUGAAAUAGACCUGAAACCCUGUGCCUACAAGCAGUUGAAGCUGGAAGCGGAGCGAUCCGUGGAAAGUAACAGCGUGCCUAUUGAAAAAUGAGCCGGCGAGAUGCUGUACGUAGCGAGGUUAAGAUCUUUAGAAGGAUUGGAGCCGAAGCGAAAGCGAGUCCGAAGAGGGCGCGAGUUUCGUGCAGCACACCCGAAGCCCGACGAUCUAGCCAUGGGCAGGUUGAAGUGAGGGUGAAACCUCAUGGAGGACCCAACCAGUGCCUGUUGAAAAAGUCUUGGAUGACCUGUGGUUAGGAGUGAAAAGCUAAUCGAGUUGGGUAAUAGCUGGUUCUCCCCGAAAUGCAUUGAGGUGCAGCCUCAAGUAGUAAGUGUCGGGGGUAGAGCUACUGACAGAUCAAGGGGUCCUGGGGGACUACCGAGAUCUAUCAAACUCCGAAUACCGACACUGUAAACUUGGGAGUGAGACUACGGGUGAUAAGGUUCGUGGUCAAAAGGGAAACAGCCCAGAUCAACAGCUAAGGCCCCAAAGAGUUCGCUAAGUGUGACAAGGAUGUGGGAAGCCUCAGACAGCCAGGAGGUUGGCUCAGAAGCAGCCAUCCUUUAAAGAGUGCGUAACAGCUCACUGGUCGAGGUCUCCUGCGCCGAAAAUGUAGGGGGCUAAGCGAACCGCCGAAGCUAUGGGAUGUGAAGACAUCGGUAGGGGAGCGUACUCUAAAGGGAAGAAGCCGCAUUGUGAAGUGCGGUGGACUACAGAGUAGUGAGAAUGUCGGCAUGAGUAACGCAAUGCGAGUGAGAGCCUCGCACACCGAAAGACCAAGGAUUCCUGGGGAAGGUUCGUCCGCCCAGGGUUAGGCGGGACCUAAGGUCAGGCUGAAAAGCGUAGCCGAUGGACAACCGGUAGACAUUCCGGUCCCGCGAGAGCUUGCAUGACCGAAGGAGUGACGCAGGAGGCUAAGUGGAGCCGGCGGAUGGAAGAGCCGGUUCAAGGGAGUAGGGAGACGAGGCAGGCAAAUCCACCUUGUCGAUAAUCCUGAGACCUGAUGGGGAGCCCUUAGAGGGUGAAGCCACUGAAGCCCGGCUGCCGAGAAAAGCUUCUAGGGAGAGCGAUCGCGCCCGUACCCGAAACCGACACAGGUGGUCAGGCUGAACAAGCCAAGGUGAAUGGGAAAACUCUCGUUAAGGAACUCUGCAAGUUGACUCCGUAACUUAGGGAGAAGGAGUGCUGCGCCCGUGAAAUGGAUACUCAUGUAAGCGGGAAGCAGCCGCAGAAACCAGGCCCAAGCGACUGUUUAAUAAAAACAUAGGACUCUGCGUAAGGUGCAAACCGAAGUAUAGGGUCUGACGCCUGCCCGGUGCUGGAAGGUUAAAGGGAAGAGUUAGCCGCAAGGCGAAGCUUAGAACUGAAGCCCCAGUAAACGGCGGCCGUAACUAUAACGGUCCUAAGGUAGCGAAAUUCCUUGUCGGGUAAGUUCCGACCUGCACGAAUGGCGUAACGAUUUGGGCGCUGUCUCGACGAGAGACCCAGUGAAAUUGUAGUACCGGUCAAGAUGCCGGUUACCCGUGGCGGGACGGAAAGACCCCAUGGAGCUUUACUGUAGCCUGGUACUGACGUUUGACCUUACACGUACAGGAUAGGUGGGAGACUGAGAAUACAGAUCGUUAGAUUUGUAGGAGUCGAUGUUGGGAUACCACCCUUGUGAUGUUGAACGUCUAACGCAUAGCACUGAAGCGUGAAUGCGGACCCUGCCAGGUGGGCAGUUUGACUGGGGCGGUCGCCUCCUAAAGAGUAACGGAGGCGCGCAAAGGUCAACUCAGGGCGGAUGGAAAUCGCCCAGAGAGCGUAAGGGUAUAAGUUGGCUUGACUGCGAGAGUGACAAUUCGAGCAGAGACGAAAGUCGGUCCUAGUGAUCCGGCGGUGCUGAGUGGAAAGGCCGUCGCUCAUCGGAUAAAAGCUACCCUGGGGAUAACAGGCUGAUCUCCCCCGAGAGUUCCCAUCGACGGGGAGGUUUGGCACCUCGAUGUCGGCUCGUCGCAUCCUGGGGCUGUAGCAGGUCCCAAGGGUUGGUCUGUUCGCCCAUUAAAGCGGUACGUGAGCUGGGUUUAAAACGUCGUGAGACAGUUUGGUCCCUAUCCGCCACGGGCGCAAGAUAUUUGAGAGGAGCUGCUCCUAGUACGAGAGGACCGGAGUGGACGCACCGCUAGUGUACCGGUUGUGUUGCCAGACGCAGAAGCCGGGUAGCCAUGUGCGGCAGGGAUAACCGCUGAAGGCAUCUAAGUGGGAAGCCCCCCUCGAGAUGAGAUAUCUCACAACGGAAGGUUGGUAAGGCGUCCCUGAGACGAAGGGAUAGAUAGGUCGGGAGUGUAAGAGCCGCGAGGUUUUUAGCUGACCGAUACUAAUACGCCGAGGCCUUUUUCUU
rfam:Jonquetella anthropi DSM 22815 chromosome, whole genome shotgun sequence.